GGUCAUGAGCGCCAGCGUCAAACCCCGGUUUGCUGGCCGGCAACCCUCCUCCGCGGUGGGGUGCCCCGGGUGAAGACCUGGUCCACCCGCACGUGGUGGGCAAGCGCGGACC
rnacentral:ncRNA from 1 species